UACGUAGGGCGCAAGCGUUGUCCGGAAUUAUUGGGCGUAAAGAGCUCGUAGGCGGCUUGUCACGUCGGAUGUGAAAGCCCGGGGCUUAACUCCGGGUCUGCAUUCGAUACGGGCUGGCUAGAGUGUGGUAGGGGAGAUCGGAAUUCCUGGUGUAGCGGUGAAAUGCGCAGAUAUCAGGAGGAACAUCGGUGGCGAAGGCGGAUCUCUGGGCCAUUACUGACGCUGAGGAGCGAAAGCGUGGGGAGCGAACAGG
rnacentral:rRNA from 1 species